UUUUCAUACUCUGAUUGGUUGUCCUAAGACUUUCUUUCAUCCAAUCAGAACAUGAUAACAAAGUCCAAUCAGAGUAGGCCUCCGGGCUUUCUCUUAUCCAAUCCUGGAACGUGUAGUCCAGGAAAGGCAUAUUCAUAACCUCAGUACAUAAAUGGUGCUGAAGAAGAGUCAGGCUAUUCCAGGUUCUUCUGUAUCUGCUCACCGAGCUGCUCCGAGCCCGGCUUAGAGGACCAGGACAGACUGGAGGCUGUAGCCUGUGGCACCAUGGCUGGCCUCCCUGCAGUUGGUGGUGACAGAGACUGUAGUGUGGCUGGAGCGGUAGGAAGGGGAAAAUAGUUUUGGGAUAGAUGAAAGGGUAAAGAGGGUGGUUAGUGCCAAAAGGAAAAAAGGAUGGCGAGCUGGAGAAGGCAUUGCAUAAAGACGGUAAUUUGGCCCUUUGUUUGAGCCCAUCGUCUGGGAGGUGAGGAACGCCUCUGCCCGGCCACCUUGUCUGGGAAGUGGGGAGCCCCUCUGCCCGGCCGCCCCAUCUGGGAGGUGAGGAGUGCCUCUGCCCGGCCACCCAAUGUCUGGGAGGUGAGGAGCGCCUCUUCCCAGCUGCCCCGUCUGGGAGGUGAGGAGCGCCUCUGCCCGGCCGCCCCAUCUGGGUUGUGAGGAGUGCCUCUGCCCGGCCACUCUGCCCGGCCGCCCCGUCUGGGAAGUGGGGAGUGCCUCUGCCUGGCCACCCCAUCCAGGAUGUGAGGAACGCCCCUGUCCGGCCACCACCCCAUCUGGGAAGUGUGGAGCACCUCUGCUGGGCCGCCCCAUCUGGGAGGUGAGGAGCACCUCUGCCCAGCCGCCCCAUCUGGGAGGUGAGGAGCGCCUCUGCCCGGCCACCCCGUCUGGGAGGUGAGGAGCACCUCUGCCCAGCCGCCCCAUCUGGGAGGUGAGGAGCGCCUCUGCCCAGCCACCCCGUCUGGGAGGUGAGGAGCACCUCUGCCCAGCCGCCCCAUCUGGGAGGUGAGGAGCGCCUCUGCCCGGCCACCCCGUCUGGGAGGUGAGGAGCGCCUCUGCCCGGCCACCCCAUCUGGGAAGUGUGGAGCGCCUCUGCCUGGCCGCCCCAUCUGGGAGGUGAGGAGCGCCUCUGCCCGGCCACCCCGUCUGGGAGGUGAGGAGCACCUCUGCCCAGCCGCCCCAUCUGGGAGGUGAGGAGUGCCUCUGCCUGGCCGCCCAUCAUCUUGGAGGUGAGGAGUUCCUCUUGCCGGCCGCCCAGUCUGGCAGUUGAGGAGCGCCUCUGCCCGGCCACCCGCUCUGGGAAGUGAGGAGCGCCUCUGCCUGGCAGCCCCGUCUGGGAAGUGAGGAGCGCCACUGCCUGGCUGCCCCGUCUGGGUUGUGAGGAGCGCCUCUGCCCGACUGCCACCCCAUCUGGGAAGUGGGGAGCACCUCUGCCCAGCUGCCCCGCCUGGGAAGUGAGGAGCACCUUUCUCCGGCUGCCCAUCAUCUGGGAGGUGAGGAGCACCUCUGCAUGGAUGACACACCAUCUGGGAAGUGAGGAGUGCCUCUGCCUGGCCACCCAUUGUCUGGGAGGUGAGGAGUGCCUCUGCCCGGCCACCCUGUCUGGGUUGUGAGGAGCACCUCUGCCCGGCUCCCACCCUGUCUGGGAAGUGGGGAGCGCCUCUUCCGGGUUGCCCCAUCUGGGAGGUGAGGAGUGCCUCCUUCCAGCUGCCCAUCAUCUGGGAGGUGAGGAGUGCCUCUGAACAGACGACACACAAUCUGGGAACUGAGGGGCGCCUCUGCCUGGCUGCGCCAUCUGGGAAGUGAAGAGCGCCUCUGCCCAGCUGCCCCGUCUGGGAGGUGAGGAGCGCCUCUGCCUGACCUCCGCCCCAUCUGGGAAUUGGGGAGUGCCAUUUCUCAGCCGCCCCAUCUGGGAAGUGAGGAGCACCUUUCUCUGGCUGCCAAUCAUCUGGGAGGUGAGAAGCGCCUCUUCACGGAUGACACACCAUCUGGGAAGUGAGGAGCACCUCUGCCUGGCCGCCCCAUCUGGGAAGUGAGGAGCACCUCUUCCUGGUCUCCCCAUCUGGGAGGUGAGGAGCGCCUCUGCCCGGCCACCCCAUCUGGGAGGCGAGGAGCGCCUCUGCCUGGCCGCCCAGUCUGGGAGGUGAGGAGCGCCUUUGCCCAGCUGCCCAUCGUCUGGGAGGUGAGGAGCGCCUCUGCCAGGCUGCCCCAUCUGGGAGGUGAGGAGUGCCUCUGCCCAGCUGCCCCGUCUGGGAAGUGGGGAGCACCUCUGCCUGGCCGCGAUGUCUGGGAGGUGAGGAGUGCCUCUGCCUGGCCGCCCCACCUGGGAGGUGAGGAGUGCCUCUGCCCGGCCGCCCCCUCUGGGAAGUCAGGAGACCCUCUGCCCAGCCGCCCCGUCUGGGAAGUGAGGAGCACCUCUGCCCAGCUGCCCCAUCUGGGAAGUGUGGAGCACCUCUGCCCGGCCGCCCAUCGUCUGGGAUGUGAGAGGAGUGCCUCUGCCUGGCUGCCCUUCGUCUGGUAGGUGAGGAGUGCCUCUUCCCAGCCGCCCCAUCUGGGAAAUGAGGAGCACCUCUUGCCUGGUUGCCCCAUCUGGGAAGUGAGGAGUGCCUCUGCCCAGCUGCCCCAUCUGGGAAGUGAGGAGCGCCUCUGCCUGGCCGUUGUGCAAUCUUCCAAGUGUGAAGUGACAGCCUUUCUGCAGGUGUACCCAACAGCUUCGAAGAGACAGCCACCAUCGGGAACGGACCAUGAUGACGAUGGCGGUUUUGUCAAAAAGAAAAGAGGGAAAUGUGGGGAAAAGAAAGAGAGAUCAGAUUGUUACUGUGUCUGUGUAGAAAGAAGUAGACAUAGGAGACUCCAUUUUCUUCUGUACUAAGAGAAAUUCUUCUGCCUUGGGAUGCUGUUAAUCUAUAACCUUACCCCCAACCCCGUGCUCUCUGAAACAAGUGCUGUGUCAACUCAGGGUUAAAUGGAUUAAGGGCGGUGCAAGAUGGGCUUUGUUAAACAGAUGCUUGAAGGCAGCAUGCUCGUUAAGAGUCAUCACCACUCCCUAAUCUCAACUGCCCAGGGACACAAACACUAUGGAAGGCUGCAGGGACCUCUGCCUAGGAAAACCAGAGACCUUUGUUCAUGUGUUUAUCUGCUGACCUUCUCUCCACUAUUAUCCUAUGACCCUGCCACAUCCCCCUCUCCAAGAAACACCCAAGAAUGAUCAAUAAAUAAUAAUAAAAGAAAGCAUAGUGCAUCACCCCAAGGGUAGAGCGUGUGUGUGUGUGUGUGUGUGUGUGUGUGUGUGUGUUCGUGGAUAGUUUCUCCUAGCUAACCAUAAGACAGGAACUUGGAGUCUUGGGACAGGAAGAGAGAAAAGAGGGGAGAAGUAUCCUGAACCAAGUAUAGAGUUGUCAAUCUCUUAACUAGAAGGUUCAAUAGUUGGGAUUUAUUUCCACAAAACAAGGAAAUUUGUGUUUUUAUAAGUACAUAAAAGUGUUCCUGUCUGUCUAGGCUUGUACUUAAAUGGGAGACUAUAAACUCUAUUGUCCAGUAUUUUACUGAAAACUGUGUAUGACACUCUACAGUCCAUUGUGACAUUCCUACAGCCAAGAAAAAUAACUGAAAACACUGAACGUGUCAGGGAUCCAUGAUAAGGAUUCAUUUCUGGAGCAAAGACUGGUCUUGUGAAGAAAGGACCUGUCCCCUUCUCAUGCAUGGGAUUCUACCCCCAUCCCACACACCAGAAGCACUGCCAGGACAUCUCUGCACUAUGCUGUGAAGUGGGUGGUUUAGGGUACCAUUGUUAUAUGACUUUUAUCAUUUUAGUUCUGUACAUCCUAUCUUGGGAAGUAAAUUUUUGGUUAUUUCUUUUCAUUUUGCCUUUUCUUCUUGUUUAACUUUAAAAUGGAAAAAGA
rnacentral:lncRNA from 1 species